AACGAACGCUGGCGGCAUGCCUAACACAUGCAAGUCGAACGAGACCUUCGGGUCUAGUGGCGCACGGGUGCGUAACGCGUGGGAACCUGCCCUUAGGUUCGGAAUAACUCCCCGAAAGGGGUGCUAAUACCGGAUAAUGUCUUCGGACCAAAGAUUUAUCGCCUUUGGAUGGGCCCGCGUUGGAUUAGCUAGUUGGUAGGGUAAAAGCCUACCAAGGCGACGAUCCAUAGCUGGUCUGAGAGGAUGAUCAGCCACACUGGGACUGAGACACGGCCCAGACCUCUACGGGAGGGAGGAGGGGGGGAUUUUGGGAAAAGGGGGGAAGGCUUAACCAACCAUGGCGCGGGGGGUGAUAAAGGCUUUGGGUUGGAAAGCCCUUUUUCCCGGGAAGAAAAAGAAAGGACCGGGAAGAUUAGGUCCGGGCUAACCCGUG
rnacentral:rRNA from 1 species